rnacentral:lncRNA from 1 species
UUUUUUUUUUUUUUUUUUUUUUUUUGAGACUGAGUCUCCCUCUGUCACCCAGGCUGGAGUGCAGUGGUGCUAUGUUGACUCACUGUAACCUCUGCCUCCCGAGUUCAAGUGAUUCUCCUGCCUCAGCCUCCUGAGUAGCUAGGACUACAGGCACGCGCCAUCACGCCCUGCUAAUUUUUUGUAUUUUUAGUAGAAACGGGGUUUCACCAUGUUGACCAGGCUGGUCUCGAACUCCUGACAUCAAGCAAUCUGCUGCCUCAGCCUCCCAAAGUGCUGGGAUUACAGGCAUGAGUCACCAUGCCCAGCCCCUUAACCUUUAAAUCUACUGAAUUGCCUGUCGCCAAGUAAGGUCUUAAGGCUCCUCAAAAACUUGAACUCAUACAGAAUGCUUUGUUUAAGACCCGGGGGUGAGCAGCUGUGAGUAAACACAAAUGCUUAGAUGCUAUGGCUAUACUAAAAUUGUGGUGAAAAUUUAGAAUAGUAAAGGAUUAUGCCCUAUAUGCCUUGGCUUAAAAUGGAAUUUUUCAAAUAUCCCAAUGGUCACAUUACUGUUACUUAUCCUAAGGAGAUAUUGUUUCAAAGUUCUCUGCGGUAAGCAUCACAAGCCCUUGUAUGAGUUGAUGGGAAAGGCAGGACCCUGCAAGGCUGAGUGUAUUAGUCCAUUCUCAUGCUGCUAAUACAGACAUACCUGACACUGGGUAAUUUAUAAAGAAGAGAGGUUUAAUGGACUCACAGUUCCACAUGGCUGGGGAGGCCUCACAAUCAUGGCAGAAAGCAAAGUAGAAACAAAGGCAUGUCUUACAUGGUGGCAGGCAAGAGAACGUGUGCGAAGGAACUCCCCUUUAUAACACCAUCAGAUCUCAUGAGACUUAUUCACUAUCAUGAGAACAGCACUGGAAAGACCCACCCCCAUUAUUCAACUAUAUCCCACAGGGUCUCUCCCAUGACGUGUGGGAAUUAUGGGAGCUACAAUUCAAGAUGAGAUUUGGGUGGAGACACAGCCAAACCAUAUCACUGAGUAAGACCAUGAUGAGGAGUCAUAACCACUUUAGAUGCUGGCACUUGAGCAAGUCAAUGUCUCUAGACCCAAUCAUUGGCCAUUGCGUGUCCACAUGGAUGUUCACUAUCAGUGAGGAAAGGGUUUCAUGGCACCCACAGCUUGCUUCUAAUUCUGAGGACUUCCUCUUUUGUAGCCCCCUCUCCUGUCUAGGCCCCUGGUGGUGUUUGGGCCCCUGAGGGAGGAGGAAAGACUAAUACUCUCCUCUCCAAUGGCCCUUGGAAAGCUGAGGCAGUGGAAUCUACUAAAGAGGUUCAUCAUCCCAAUAAAUUUUAUCUUCACAGUUCAGAGUCUUAGUGCUGUCUCUCCAGCAUUGGCCCCAUGUCCAGAUGGCAUGAGCAAAUGCUCGAGAGCCCUGCCAGGGCCACAGUGCUACUGAGAUUCCCAAUUGCUGAUGACCCUUGAGGUUUUUCUCCAGAGAGCCUCAUCUAAAACAUCUUUGUGUAGGGCCAGUUCAUGACAUAGUGAUGUAGAGACCUAAAUUAAUUAAUCCACUUACAAUGAAUAGUGCCCUAAGGAAUGCAAUAUAGACCAAAGAGGAUGAGGUUGGAAAGCUCUAGAACACAGGCCAUAAUGUAACCAUAGAACUAGGAAGAAAGCUGUGACAGAAAAGGUGAUCUCUCCAAUUCAGAAUUUGUCGUGUCUCAGAACUUUCUCUUUCUACACUAUUAUUGGUCUUGCUUGCAAGACAAUUCACUCAGCACAGGCUUUCAGAAGUUCUGCUUUUCAACAAAUGAACCAAAUUCCUUUAAGCUAGCACCAGCCUCCUGGUUGGCUGCCUCUUUUCUCACCUAACGUAAUUAUUUCCUGUGAAGGUCGAUUGGAGUUGAGAUUUCAUAAUGCUGCCGUAAUAUUUCUCUCUCACUCUCCUGCAUCACACUCACAGUGACAUUUGGGCCAUUUUUUGCCUCUGCACAAAUGCACAGUCUUGCCAUCCAUCAUGCCAAGGGCAACUAUGAAAUGAGCAUUAAGCACAUAGUUUUCAAUGCUA